AGCGGACAGAUGGGAGCUUGCUCCCUGAUAGUUAGCGGCGGACGGGUGAGUAACACGUGGGUAACCUGCCUGUAAGACUGGGAUAACUCCGGGAAACCGGGGCUAAUACCGGAUGGUUGUUUGAACCGCAUGGUUCAGACAUAAAAGGUGGCUUCGGCUACCACUUACAGAUGGACCCGCGGCGCAUUAGCUAGUUGGUGAGGUAACGGCUCACCAAGGCGACGAUGCGUAGCCGACCUGAGAGGGUGAUCGGCCACACUGGGACUGAGACACGGCCCAGACUCCUACGGGAGGCAGCAGUAGGGAAUCUUCCGCAAUGGACGAAAGUCUGACGGAGCAACGCCGCGUGAGUGAUGAAGGUUUUCGGAUCGUAAAGCUCUGUUGUUAGGGAAGAACAAGUGCCGUUCAAAUAGGGCGGCACCUUGACGGUACCUAACCAGAAAGCCACGGCUAACUACGUGCCAGCAGCCGCGGUAAUACGUAGGUGGCAAGCGUUGUCCGGAAUUAUUGGGCGUAAAGGGCUCGCAGGCGGUUUCUUAAGUCUGAUGUGAAAGCCCCCGGCUCAACCGGGGAGGGUCAUUGGAAACUGGGGAACUUGAGUGCAGAAGAGGAGAGUGGAAUUCCACGUGUAGCGGUGAAAUGCGUAGAGAUGUGGAGGAACACCAGUGGCGAAGGCGACUCUCUGGUCUGUAACUGACGCUGAGGAGCGAAAGCGUGGGGAGCGAACAGGAUUAGAUACCCUGGUAGUCCACGCCGUAAACGAUGAGUGCUAAGUGUUAGGGGGUUUCCGCCCCUUAGUGCUGCAGCUAACGCAUUAAGCACUCCGCCUGGGGAGUACGGUCGCAAGACUGAAACUCACAGGAAUUGACGGGGGGGCCGGCACAACCGGUGGAGCAUGUGGGUUUAAUUCGAAGCAACGCUGAGAACCAUUACCAUGUCNUGACAUCCUCUGACAAUCCUAUAGAUAGGACGUCCCCUUC
rnacentral:rRNA from 1 species